rnacentral:rRNA from 1 species
AGGUAAGCUACUAAGAGCGAAUGGUGGAUGCCUUGACUGGUAAAGGCGAUGAAGGACGUACUAGACUGCGAUAAGCUACGGGGAGCUGUCAAGAAGCUUUGAUCCGUAGAUUUCCGAAUGGGGCAACCCAAUGUAUAGAGAUAUACAUUACCUAUAUAGGAGCGAACGAGGGGAAUUGAAACAUCUUAGUACCCUCAGGAAAAGAAAUCAAUAGAGAUUGCGUCAGUAGCGGCGAGCGAAAGCGCAAGAGGGCAAACCCAGUGCUUGCACUGGGGGUUGUAGGACUGCAAUGUGCAAGAGCUGAGUUUAGCAGAACAUUCUGGAAAGUAUAGCCAUAGAGGGUGAUAGUCCCGUAUGCGAAAAACAAAGCUUAGCUAGCAGUAUCCUGAGUAGGGCGGGACACGAGGAAUCCUGUCUGAAUCCGGGUCGACCACGAUCCAACCCUAAAUACUAAUACCAGAUCGAUAGUGCACAAGUACCGUGAGGGAAAGGUGAAAAGAACUGAGGUGAUCAGAGUGAAAUAGAACCUGAAACCAUUUGCUUACAAUCAUUCAGAGCACUAUGUAGCAAUACAGUGUGAUGGACUGCCUUUUGCAUAAUGAGCCUGCGAGUUGUGGUGUCUGGCAAGGUUAAGCAAACGCGAAGCCGUAGCGAAAGCGAGUCUGAAUAGGGCGCUUAGUCAGAUGCUGCAGACCCGAAACGAAGUGAUCUAUCCAUGAGCAAGUUGAAGCUAGUGUAAGAACUAGUGGAGGACUGAACCCAUAGGCGUUGAAAAGCCCCGGGAUGACUUGUGGAUAGGGGUGAAAGGCCAAUCAAACUUCGUGAUAGCUGGUUCUCUCCGAAAUAUAUUUAGGUAUAGCGUUGUGUCGUAAUAUAAGGGGGUAGAGCACUGAAUGGGCUAGGGCAUACACCAAUGUACCAAACCCUAUCAAACUCCGAAUACCUUAUAUGUAAUCACAGCAGUCAGGCGGCGAGUGAUAAAAUCCGUCGUCAAGAGGGAAACAACCCAGACUACCAGCUAAGGUCCCUAAAUCUUACUUAAGUGGAAAACGAUGUGAAGUUACUUAAACAACCAGGAGGUUGGCUUAGAAGCAGCCAUCCUUUAAAGAAAGCGUAAUAGCUCACUGGUCUAGUGAUUUUGCGCGGAAAAUAUAACGGGGCUAAAGUAAGUACCGAAGCUGUAGACUUGCACACAACUUAGAUUAUUUAAGUUUAGAAUAUAAAAAACUAAGUUAUAUGUUUUAGUUAUAUUUUUACUGAUUUUUAUAGAGUAAAGAUAGAAAUAAAACUUAGUAAAAUCAGUAAAAAUAUUCUUGGUUUAAAGUUUAAGUAGUUUAAGUUGUGUGCAAGUGGUAGGAGAGCGUUCUACUUGCGUCGAAGGUAUACCGGUAAGGAGUGCUGGAGCGAAUAGAAGUGAGCAUGCAGGCAUGAGUAGCGAUAAUUAAUGUGAGAAUCAUUAACGCCGUAAACCCAAGGUUUCCUACGCGAUGCUCGUCAUCGUAGGGUUAGUCGGGUCCUAAGUCGAGUCCGAAAGGGGUAGACGAUGGCAAAUUGGUUAAUAUUCCAAUACCAACAUUAGUGUGCGAUGGAAGGACGCUUAGGGCUAAGGGGGCUAGCGGAUGGAAGUGCUAGUCUAAGGU